UCAGUGAUCAAAGAGCCCUGAAAAACAAUACCAUCCAUUACUGUAAUUGAAAAACAAAAAAUUGAAGGUUUGUGACACUAGAAUCAAAUAUGCAUAAUAAUGUAGAGCACAAUGUACAAAUAGUUAUGUAGUUUUUAUGAGUUUAGAGUUAAAUUUCAAUUUGGAAAGUGUGGUCACCACUCAUUCACAUAGCUGACAUAAAGAGACAACCAAACAGUUCCACUGGUAUUCACACCUACGGGCAAUUUAAAGUCCCAAAUCAGCCUAACAAGCAUGCUUAUGGGCUGUGAGAGGGAACAGUAGUACCUGAAGAGUAGCCAUCGAUGCACUGGAGAAGAUGCAAACUCCACACAGAAAGAUGUCCGACCAUGACUCAAACCAGGAAUCUUCUGUGAGGUGAUGGUAGUCACCACUGAGGCACUGUGCUUUCCACAAGUGGAGGAGGGCUGUCCUCUGCGGGUCACAGAUGCAUCCAUGAUAUCAUCGGCCACGAGGAAAAAAGCCUGAAGCUGCAAACAACACGGACACAGUUCUAAUAUUGAUAUCCAAUAUUGAUAUUACAUCAAGAAGUUUCAGUUCAUGUUUUAAGGACAAAAAAUAAGGAACACACUCAUGGAUUUCUUGAAGCCUAAAGAUGCUCUGUAAAAAGAUUUACUUGACUUGCACAUCUCUGUGUCCUCUUUAUUAUCAUUCAUCUGCACACAUGGAUGACAUGAAUAAUUAAACAUUUUUAUCUAUACUUACUAUUUGAUUUCUUUUCUAUUCUGUCUUUUCAGAAUAGAUUAUAUACCCUUACAUCUCUGGUUCUUAGGUCUUUUUUUAUUCAGUUGGGUGUGCUGCCUGAGUUUGUCUAGGUUAUUCUGAGAUUUUAUUCUGGGUCUUUAUUUAUAUUUUGGAUUUUUAUGUUUCUGUAUUUAUUUUCUGAUGUCUUUCUAAUAUGAUAUGUCCUUGGCUUUUUAAAUGUGUCUGCUGGGUUAUUAUAAUAUCAAAAUGUUAUAAUAUUGGCUGAAUUUUCAUGGGGUCUUCUGUUGUUCAGGGUUUGUCUUGUGUUGUUAUGCUUGUUUGGUGUAAUGUGUUUGUGUGUAAUGAUGCUUUGUUUUAUUUGUGAUUCUGUUAAUUGUCAAUGCACUUAUGCACGCUACAAAUACAUUUCUCAAUGUGAUUAUUAUCAUAUCAAAUAUAAAUCUGGGACAAACAAAUAA